UAUUUUGGAUUAUCACAUAUUUUGUACUGAUAUGUACGUUUUUGCAUGGCCAAUAAUAGCCGGAAGUCAAGGUUGGUUAUCAGCCCUCGGGGCCGAUAUCGAUAUCAGCCCUCGAAAUCCAUAUCAAGCCCCCGAGUUUAACUUCCGGUAAACUGUCAAUCAAAGACUAUUUGUAAACAAGUUGAACACAAUGAAAAGAAAUUUAGAAAGUUACGAAUCUGCUGUAGAAGAAAAAAGUAGAAAUCAACAGUGAAAAUCACAAAAGUUCCCGUAAAAUUUUGACGUCAUAAAGAAUUUAUAAAAUAUAUGACGCC
rnacentral:lncRNA from 1 species